rnacentral:lncRNA from 1 species
AGUUUCAGUCUCGAGGUCCCCGGGCUGCUUCUUAUUUAUGAUCAGAUCAAGGGUAUAAGGUGUCAGUGGGGGCAGCCAGCAGUCAUAGGCCAGAGAGGGGCGACUGCCCGUCCCAAGGGCUUGUCACAGGGUAAGUAACCGACAGACUGGGAAAGGAAGGAGGCAAUCUUCAGCCACUCGGUCACUCAUUCUAAAUUCACUCUCAUUUUUUGGGCAUCUAUUGUGCAAGCCCUGUGGACUUAAAAAGAGAAAUAAGACGCCGUCCCUGCCCUCGGGAGCUCCCGGCGCAUCUGCCCCAACAACUCGCUGAAGCCGCCUGCAGGACGCCUGAGUGAGGACAAGGUGUCUCACUCAGAAAAUUUGCUUGAUUCUUCCUGGCAAGUGGGACAGGUCCCUGCAGUUGCUGGGGAAAGUGGACUCUUCUGGUAGCUGCUUUUACAGCCCCUGCCCUCAGAGGCCCCCCAGGUGGGAAGGGCCUGCCUCCUAGGCAGUGGGUGGUCACCGAGGACUGACUUUGAACCCGGGGCAAGGGAGCCCCAGAAGGCUGGAGGCCUGCACACGGCACUGGAAGAAACAAACUGCAAAGGCUGUCCCUCAGGGCUAUCUCCACAGCCACCGGAAUGCGGCCUGGAAUAUCCAAACCUGUCAGCCCACCUGCACCCAGCCAGACAGCGACCAUUCUAGCUGCUUCCCCGGAGGCCUGCUGACCCAGAGAGGUGUCAAAAAGCUGAAGCACAACAGACAGACCUCCCACAGACUCAGCAGGGAGUUGGAGGACAGUCGGCACACCAGCAGCUGUAGCCCAUCACCUCCCCCCUCCCCAUUCACCUGGUAUGCAGCACUUAAGGGCUUGCUGAAGCCCCAGCAAAGCAGAGGCCCACCUGAGAGCUUGGAAACACACCUAUGCCCCAGACCACCGCAAUCGCAAUCUCCAGUCAGCCCUGGCCACCACAGUGAACUGCCUAAGUGCCCCAGAUGACUGAGUCACAAGCCAGGGCUGGGAAGCACUGCAUGAAAGGCGGCCUUCUCUAGACAAGGCUGGACACACCCCUGCAAGGCCUGUCUCCUAGGAGCUGGGAUGAAACUCUGGACGAUGUGCUGGGAACAAAGAAAACCCACAUGGUAAAGGCUCGCUUUUCCUUGGGAAUCUGCAAUGCUUACAGAACGGGAAAGGCUGAAAGCCGCCCACAGUGCCGCACCUGGGCCUGAGGGCUGGUGUACCCACCCUCUCCCGGAGGAAACAAGACCCGUGACCAGACUCAAAACCACCUCACACCCUCACAAUCCUUACAGAAUAUUCAAAGACUGGCACUUCAACCUUACAACCUGAGCACGUCUAAAUGCCUAACACAAUACCAAGCACACUGUAUGCCACGCUUUUAAAAGGUAGAGAUCUUAAAAAAACAAAAAACACUACCUCGGGUAUGAAGACAGAUUUUAUGAUGCCAGUCAUUUCCAGAGGGGCUGCCCGCUGUGGCACAGCACCACCUGGUGGCCACCCCAACCCAUGCACCUCCCCCCAUCCCAGUACCCUGACAGCAAGCCAAUGAAAGAGGUGUUAAUAUGGCUAUUUUCCAACUGAGGAAACAGGCAAAAGUGUAGUCAUUUCUCCAAGUCAGUCAAGUUAGCGAGUGGUAGAUGUGCUAUACCUUGUUGCACCCAUUUUGGGACCUGUUUGAAUGGCAUGCCCCACCAUCGCUCCCACAUCUGCCAGUUAUGUUUAACCCCACGUGCUAUUUCCAUCAUGGCCUCCCCACAUCUUAUUUUCAAACAGGCUGAAAACAGAUGGCCUCAUUUGCCGACUGAGAUCAUGCUCAAGAUUAGGGAUGCACCGGGCACGGAGGCUCAUGCCUGUAAUCCCAGCACUAUGGGAGGCUGAGGCAGGCAGUGAAACCCUGUCUCUACUACAAAUACAAAAAUUGGCCAGGCGUGGUGAUGUGUGCCUGUAAUCCCAGCCACUCGGGAGGCUGAGGCAGGACAGUCGCUUGAACCCAGGAGGCGGAGGUGGUAGUGAGCUGAUAUCGCACCACUGUGCUCCAGGAUGAGCCACAGAGCAAGACUCCGUCUCAAAGAAAGAAAAAAAAAAAAAAAAAAAGACACAGGAAGGCAGCAACAGAACCCGCGUCCUGUUCCCAUCAGAAGCCACUACGAGGUAGCAUUUUUCCCUUUCCCAUCCGCAAAGACGAAAGACACUUAGGAUUUUUAGUAUUUUAAUAUAAUACAGUUCCAAUCAGUGUGUCUGGUUCAUUUCAGUUCCUUCACUGCCAAACCUAGAGGGAAAGAGACAAAAGUAAGCCAUCCAGAAGACACAUCUGAGUUGCUGCUGCUUGUCUAAAUUUUGUACUUAAGCUAAAGAGAGCACACAAGGUUCAGAAAUUAGAUCCACCAGCGAAGUUUCGGUUAAAAUAUUUAGUGUUUGAUAAAAAGACUUGGUCUAUUAUAUUCGAUAAAAAGACUUGGUCUAUUAUAUUUCAUCUGUUCCCCUGUAAAAAAUGGGGACUAUCAGUACUAGCACCAACCUCGAAGGGUCGUGAACAGGAUUAAAUGAGCUCUAACCGCUCUUCUGGCUAAGGAAAUGAUUUCUGGUACUGUAUAUAAUCUGAGAAUCACAACUAUUCCUCACACUCCCAACAGCAAGAGCAGAUUCUUAGACCAUAAAAUGGGCUCUGAAAUCUGAGAGGGAUUCAAAACAAGAUACAACAUGGCCACACACAGCAACCUUCCAAACCCCACCCGCCCCUGAAGUGACUUCAGGCUCACUCACCGGGGGGCAGGGACUGCUUCAGUUUCUCUGCCUUCUCUUUGUCAGUGAUGACCAGGGUGUAAAGGUAUCUGCUGCAUCGAACUUUAAACUUCACGUUGUCCUUAUUUUUCUUGAUCUUGACAGCUACCGGAGACCAGAAUCAGGAAUUAAAUUGUAUCACAGAAAACAGAUGUGACACAGUCCAUGUGCAAAUACACUCAAGCAGUAAGCAGCAUGCAGGAGACAGCACCCACCUCCAGUACCAUCCCUCUGUGCAAACAGAAAACACUAUUACCCGUUCCUCCAACUUGGGACUUUUAUUGGGUACACUGAACACAACAUUACAGAAUAUCUUCUAUCAACCUUAUUAUCUUUCUUAUUUCUACUUUGUUUUUUGAGACAGAGUCUCGGUCUGUUGCCAGGCUGGAGUGUAGUGGCGCAAUCUUGGCUCCCUGCAACCUCCGCCUCCCAGGUUCAAGCGAUUCUCCUGCCUAAGCCUCCUGGAGUAGCUGGGAUUACAGGCGUGCACCACCACACCCAGCUAAUUUUUUGUAUUUUUAGUAGAGAUGGGGUUUCACCAUGUUUGCCAGGAUGGUCUUAAUCUCUGGACCUCGUGAUCCGCUGGCCUCGGCCUCCCAAAGUGCUGGGAUUCCAGGCAUGAGCCACCGCACCUGGCCUAUUAUCUUUUUAAAAAGGGAUAGAAGCAGUGAUAAAGUAAGGAGACGGGCUGUCUGCUGGGACUGAGCGCUUUUCAGCACUCCACUCCCGGAAAUCAGGCCUCCGCAUGUGAGAUGACAUUCUGGGCCAGUAAGAGCUCGUUCUUCAGGAUGCCUCCAGCCACUGCGCACAACACGCACCCAGGGUUUUCCUUGAAUUUAUGUGGAAUCCAUUUUCUGGGUUCUUUCCUGCUGCCAAGUUCUAUUUCAGGAUCAUGGCUCAGACAAGAAACAGCUACUGUGUACCUCAAAUUCAGCUGUGUGGGGUUUGAAUCGUGCACCACUCUGGUUAUGUACUAGCAGUAUCAAUGCAUGGCCAUCUGGCUGCUGUGAGACAACCCCUUCCCAGGAGUAGUUACCACUCCAUGUAUUCACUGAAUGCCUUGUUCCAACUCUUUAAAAACUGCUCAGAGAUACUCCCAGGAUUUGUUAUAAUAGCAGUGAUGUGCCAAUCAAGAAGCAGGUGGCUGAGGGCUGAACAUGGGCUCUAACACUUCAACGAAAGCACCUGGCCAGACACAGCACACAGCACUUAACCUGGCAGACGCACACAAGAUGAUCUUGUCCUAGCAAUUCGGCAACUCCAUUUCUGCCAGUAACUACUAUAGGAAUGGGGCACAUCAGAGGAAGCAGCACUGUGACUCAGAGCCUGCCCAAGGCACGGGCUGCCUGGACUCUCGUUCUUAAUACAUCCAGACACCUGGAUAUUCAUCCAAACUAACCUAUUUCAGUAUAACACUGCCCCUAGCAGCUGAACUAAGCUGAACACCACUUGUAAAGACAUAUGGAGCUCUUCAAAAUGUUUAUUCAGUUGGGUGCGGUGGUUCACGCCUGUAAUCCCAGCACUUUGGGAGGCUGAGGUGGGUGGAUCACCUGAGGUCGGGAGUUCGAGACCAGCCUGACCAACAUGGAGAAACCCCGUCUCUCCUAAAAAUACAAAAAUUAGCCAGGCGCCUGUAAUCCCAGCUACUCAGGAGGCUGAGGCAGGAGAACAUGGGAGGCAGAGUUUGCAGUGAGCCAAAAUUCCGCCACUGUACUCCAGCCUGGGCAACAAGAGCGAAACUCCAUCUCAAAAAAAAAAUAAAUAAAAAAAAAGUUUACUCAACAUUGCCAUAUGUGCAGCAAUUCCAUUUCUAGGUAUAUACCCCAAAGAACAGAUA